AAAGAUUGCCUUGUCCACCAGAGUGACACAGAGAUUAGUGGUGGUCUCUGUCAUCCCAAAGAGAUCCUACAUGUUCAGGGUAUUUCUCAUUGGGCACCUGCUAGCAUUGGACCAUGUAGUCAGUCUAUCAAGUUGGGUGAACCAUGCCACAUAGUCGGGAGAGUCUUUUGGGGAUUUGAAGGCCAACAUGGGUACAGAAAAGAUAAAACCAGGUCAGCACUCGAGGACAAAGACCAGAAGCAGCUUGGUGAAUUACCACUACUCAGUAUGGACAGAGCAAAUGCAGAGCCUGGCACCAGCCAAGAUGCAAAGCUGAGUCAACUGGCUCAUCCUCUCUACCUUCUGUGAGUUCAGCUCUAGGCCCUCUUUUCAUGCCAUACUUCCUUCGAGGUCUAUUUCUGUGUCGUGAGGCCAGGAGCCUGAAAAAAUAACGAAAACGAGUCCCUGUCACAGCUGAACCAGUUCCAUGAUCAUAUUAGUCCUACCAGUGCGGGCGGAAACACAGAUCAUAUUGAUGUCCUGAGGCCCAGUGCAUCUGGAAACAGAAAAGGAUACUCUGAAGGAAUUGAGAGGCUUUCUGAAUGGAUUGCCUGAGGUCAGAGGCUGAAAAAUAAGAACCAGAAGACAACACAGUUGUUAUAAAAGAACUCUCCUCUUGAGAUAGGGAAGGAGAAAAAAAGGAACUAGGGAAAAUAAAUGAAAAUUAAUAUCUGAAUUUUCAUCAGAGCUGACGUGAGUUGUGAAACCAUUGGACAAAACUGCUUCAUUUAUUCAAAAGUCACAGGGGAAAAAAUGUUUUAUAUAAGUGAAGUAUUAAGAUUACUUAUGUUAUUAAAUAUUUUGAAUAAAAAUCUUUCUAAAAUAUAUUUCACUUUAUCCUGCAUGUUAAAAGGAAUAUACAGAAGCAGAUUUUAUGUGUUCUUAAAGAUUGUCACAUUAUGAACAUUAAUUAUUUUACUCUAGGGUAGUAAUUCUCCCUAAGGCUAUAGAGGUUCUUAGGACUAUUUAUCCCUGCUUGGAUCUCUAGUAUUUGUACUUGCUUUCUGUAGUCGUCAUGUCUCCUCCCUGCCUACUAGCUGACCUGCUGUCACUUUGGUAUCAUCCAUGAGCCUGAGUCUAGUGACUCCCUCCCUGCUUCUUUCCAAUUUAUGGCAUCUACCUUAUCUUAGGCAGGAAAACCAGACAAGAAGCUUGGUGUAACCAUAGCCAUAACCGAAGUGAAUUUUGAGAAGACAUCUGAGGAACUAAGAUCAUGUGAGCUUAAGCAUGUGGCUGUUUUAGGACCGAGAUUGGCUGCUCAUUGACUUUAUUUUGGAGAAUAAGGUGGGAAGGAGCUUGCUUUGAGGCUCUGGACUGCAUUCUGGAUAGUAAACAUCGUGACAUUACUUAUUUCUGUAUGUCAGUUAACGUGUUUGAGAUUGUGUCUUCACUUUUACAAAUAUAAAAGGGAGCUGUAGAGCAUGUUUCAGA